rnacentral:rRNA from 2 species
GACGGAGGAUGCAAGCGUUAUCCGGAAUUAUUGGGCGUAAAGCGUACGUAGGCUGUUUCAUAAGUCUGUUGUCAAAGCCCGAGGCUCAACCUUGGAUCGGCAAUGGAAACUGUGAGACUAGAGAGAGAUAGGGGCAGGAGGAAUUCCAGGUGUAGCGGUGAAAUGCGUAGAUAUCUGGAAGAACACCAGUGGCGAAAGCGUCCUGCUGGAUCUCAACUGACGCUGAAGUACGAAAGCUAGGGGAGCGAAUGGG